GAAACUGAGGAAAAGAGCCAAGAUUCGAAACCUGUCUGUACCACUUACUAGGUGUGUGAAGCUGGGAAAGUGUCUUAUGCGGCCUGUGCCUCAGUUUACCUAACUUGCAAGGGUAUUAUGAGGAUUCACUGAAUAAUUGCAUACGAAGUGCUUCACGGAGCACCUGGCGUCCUAAGCACUGGAGACGUAUUUGCUGUUCAUGUCAUCACCACCUUCAUCACCACCAAGGAAUGAAUCUCUGGAUCCCAUGGUCUUCAGCAGCCCUGGGUCCAGGCAUCAUACCCCAGGAUGCCCAGCGUAAAGAGCCUGAGAGAAUACCCCAGGACAGAAACCAAACCAAUGGAGAGCAGCAAUUGAAGGGAUUCGUGUUCUAGUCUGCUGCUACUGUAAGAGCCUGACUGAACCAGAGCGACUCCAUGUUGACCAGCAAACGACCUAGAGACUGUCGUGCCCCCCCCAUCCCUUAUAGGAUAACGAAUGAUUCAUUGUGAAUUGUUAGGUAACUGCUUUGAAGUAGCUGGGAAACUAAAUGGAAACUGUAGUGAACACAGAGACCCAACACAAAUCACACCACUCCUUACUUGCCUGUAGUUGAAUGUUCUGAACAUUAUAAUCUAAGUUGUAAAUGGAAUAAUGGAUAAUCGAUCUGCUGAUCAUUAGUAUGUGACGGUCAAGUAUAUGCUUGAAGACCACUAGCUCAGAUCAACUGAUUCUUUGCCUUUGUCCUCUUCCUGUAAGUUUUAAGUGUAACCCCCCCCUCAGCCCUAUAUAAAAUGGCCUCUGUUUCUGAGCUAGCCGCCUCUCUGAGCUACUUGGCUUGGGGAGUGCCGUCUGGCCAGACUAAUAAAGGUCUAUUUGCCAACUUGCCUGGUGUGUUCCUUCCUGGGUGACUCUUGCUGUCCAACAAGCUCCUGGAGCCUCGCUGAGCUUCUGAGCCCAGCAUCGUGGAAGCCUCUUGGCUGUUCACGCUCCAGGAGUAAAAGUGAGACUUAAGUCUUACACUACCCAUAUGGGGGAAUCACUUGCCCCAAGCACUUCAGUU
rnacentral:lncRNA from 1 species